CCACACUGUUUUCCCUAAGUACCUGACUUUUCAAAAUACUGAUUCCAGGCUAAGGGGAGCAUUUGCUUCAGAACUGGGUCACAGUAUUUUGAAAAGUCAGGUACUUGGGGAAACACACUC
rnacentral:miRNA from 1 species